rnacentral:rRNA from 1 species
UACGGAGGGUGCGAGCGUUGUUCGGAAUCACUGGGCGUAAAGGGCGUGUAGGCGGUCCGCUAAGUCUGAUGUGAAAGCCCGGGGCUCACCCCCGGAAGGGCAUUGGAAACUGGCGGACUCGAGUCCCGGAGAGGAGGGUGGAAUUCCUGGUGUAGCGGUGAAAUGCGUAGAUAUCAGGAGGAACACCGGUGGCGAAGGCGGCCCUCUGGACGGUGACUGACGCUGAGACGCGAAAGCGUGGGGAGCAAACGGG